rnacentral:miRNA from 1 species
ACAAGCUUUCGGGAGAACCUCCCUUUCUCAAGUCUGAAGCAUUUUGAAAUGCUUCAGACUUGAGAAAGGGAGGUUCUCCCGAAAGCUUG